ACUCCUACGGGAGGCAGCAGUAGGGAAUUUUCGGCAAUGGGGGGAACCCUGACCGAGCAACGCCGCGUGAGUGAAGAAGGUUUUCGGAUUGCAAAGCUCUAUCAGCAGGGAAGAAAGGCCCGCAAGGGAGAUGACGGUACCUGAAGAAGAAGCCCCGGCUAAUUACGUGCCAGCAGCCGCGGUAAUA
rnacentral:rRNA from 1 species